CAGUUUUUCAAUUUUGACAAUAGGGCUUUUAAUCUGAUAAUGUCUCAGAUUUAACAUUCCAAGACUUCCUCAGUAAACCUGGAGAAAACUCCUUGGCCAUAGGCAAAGCCUAGGACAGCCAGAGCUUUUUGCUGUGACUCUAUGCAGCUUGGAGAGUUAGUAUCUGUUGGAGAUAGCCUGGAAGUGGGUGGGGGCAUGUCAGUGGGGACUGUUGCUGCAGUAGGAGACCCUUUCACAACGGCACUGUUUUGUCAUUUUGCACCCAGAUUUCCGUUGGCUAACCUCAGACUUAUCUUCCUCAUUUCAGUUUCCUCUUGAAGACACCAAGGGCCCUUCAAAACACAGGACCUUCCUGUUCACAGCAUAAAGCCCAAUUCCCUCUGGCCUCGGCAGUUUGGAUCAUCACCAGGGAACCAACCUAUGCCUCCUACGAGAUGAAAGCACCACUCCAAUAACAGGUAUAGUAUCUACUUGCCCUCUCUGCUAGGAUUCUCAAACCGAGGCACUAUCCAUGACUACCAAAUGUGGCUUGGAUCUACCAACUCCAUUCUUCUUGGACCCUUCUCAGGAAUCCUCAGUCAGGGGUGGGGGAGAAUAAGGGUCAUGUUUAUCUUCUGUCCUGGAACUUGUAAUGAUGAGAAGGGAGGAUGACAUUUCCUUACCAGAUAGACUGCUAAAGAGACAGCCAAAUGGAAGUGGAAUGUUCUCUAGAACCAGCCGUCAGGCUAUUUGAAUAGCAGUCCUGGUUUUGCCAUUUACUUACUGUGUAUCUUUGAUUUAGUCCUUUCUCCAUUCUAGGACUCUUCUGCAGAGAAGAAGAAGGGAAGGAUUAGGUAAAUAAUGUCUAGAGACUCUUAGUUUUAUAUCCCCUAUUUUGAUAGUUGUCAGCCCUCUGUUGAGAAAGGACAUGAGAGUGACGCUGAGUAAAUAUCUUUGGGUGGGGCUGAACAGGAGGCUGAAGUGUGCCUGAAAAAAAUCCCAUACUGUUCCCAGUAUGCGGAAGCCCAACCAGGUCAGUUGCAGGGCAGGUCUUAUUGCUUGAUAUGUAAGUCUUCUGAAGGUAGAGCAGGGAACAAAUGAUAUUUUAUGCAACAUAACAGACCAAGAGAGGAGCUUUCAGAGUGCCUCAAUAUCAAUCAAUGUAGAUAUCCAUGGAAAUCCAUAGAUAUACAUAUUUUUCUUAUGGGUCUGGCCAGCCUUUUUCAGCUGAACUUGCUUUCCUUAUAUACAUUAUUGGAGAGGCAUGGACUAGAACAUCAAAAGUAUAAAUAAAACCAAUCUAGUUUCAGCUCAGCCAUUGCUUUUUUCAUUAAUACUGGAGCAAAAUGGUCUAUAAGGCUUUUAUGAUUCCAGUGUGUAAGAAUCUUUAGCCUCCUUAUACCGAUCAUCCUUCCAAUGAAGUCAAAAAAGGUACUCUGUGCUGUGAACAUCUCCAGUUCUCCAGAACAAUAUCCAAGUCUUCUUACUGGAGCUGGUAGCCAAUAAGGAUGAUGAUAGAUGAAAGUCAUCAAUCCAGUUCUCUCUCCUCUGCCACUCUGAACUCAACUCUAUCAAUCAUCUUCCUUGGCUGGCCUCUACCCACAGCCCCAGGGAUUGAGCCAAUAUGCCUGUGAACUCCUAUAUGGGAGGCUCCAGAAAAAUCACCAAACACUUUCCUGACAAUUUUGCCAGAGAAUCCUAUUGAAGUUCAAGACCCCUAGAAAUGCCACAGUUUAGGACUCAUAUCUGAGGACCUCCCCUGGUGAACACUGGAACUUCAUUUGCAGUAUCAACUGGGCCUUUGCUACAUACCCUCAGGAUCAUUCCUCUGGGCCACAUCUCCCAGGAAGAUCUCACCUCACCACUGAAGCUCCUGGUCCAACCUGCAAUGCCACGCUCCGUGUAUUUGACAAGCUGAGUUGGACACUCCAUGUAGUAGAGUGUCAGUUUGUCAAAUACCCCAAGUGCGGCAUAUGCCUAGCAGCACCAGGCCAGAACUUCAAGAUAAAAUAAAUAGACUGCCAGCUGGAUACAAGAACAUCAAUCAACUUAGCUUUCAGAGGCUAUUUUUGGUAAAUUUGAUGCUACUAAAGCAUUGCACCUGAGAGUGUCAAAGUGAGGCAGCUCUGCUACACACACUGUGGGAGCCCUAGUGGGACACAGUAGUCUUGAAGGAGAUAUAUGAGACCUAGGGAUGGAGGUAUUCCUUGAUUCAUUAUUUUCUUCAUUCACAUUCCCCUCUGAGAGUUCCCUAGCAAGGUCAUCAGAAUUCUUACAUAAGGAUCAUGGCAGGGCUUGGACACUCUGUUUCUUGACACUUAGCCUUGGCUUCUAAACACACUUUGAUCUUACCUAUGUCUCUCCUUUGCGUUAUGCUCUUUCACCUUCUGGGAACAUCUUUCUUCAUUUCUCUCUUCUUAUUCAAAAUUUCUCCAUACUUUCUGGCUCAGCUGAUGGAGUUUUGAAAGUUAAACUCUUUCCUUCUUCAUUUUCAAAGCACUCCUUUUCUGGGUAUAUACUCUUUUAUUUCCUACUGCCCAAUGGUACCUCUUCAAUUAUAAUGAAAUGUUAGAAGAUUUUAUUUAUUUAUUUAUUUAUUUUAAAGAUUUUUUUCCUCCUGUUUUUAUUUUAUUUAUUUAUUUUUAAGGGCAACACCCAUGGCAUAUGGAGAUUCCCAGGCUAGGG